rnacentral:rRNA from 1 species
AAUCAACGCUGGCGGCGUGCCUCAGACAUGCAAGUCGAACGCGAAAGGUUCCUUCGGGAGCCGAGUAGAGUGGCGCUCGGGUGAGUAACACGUAGGUAAUUUGCCUUUGGGUGGGGAAUAACAAUCGGAAACGGUUGCUAAUACCGCAUAAUGCAGCGGCUCGACAUCGAGACAGUUGUUAAAGCGGGGGAGUCCUUCGGGACCGUCGCGCCUAAAGAGAAGCCUGCGGCGGAUUAGCAGUUGGUGAGGUAAUGGCUCACCAAGGCGACGAUCCGUAACCGGCCUGAGAGGGCGGGACGGUCACACUGACACUUAAAUACGGGUCAGACUCCUACGGGAGGC